ACUGAACGCUGGCGGCAUGCCUUACACAUGCAAGUCGAACGGUAACAGGUCUUCGGAUGCUGACGAGUGGCGAACGGGUGAGUAAUACAUCGGAACGUGCCUAGUAGUGGGGGAUAACUACUCGAAAGAGUGGCUAAUACCGCAUGAGAUCUACGGAUGAAAGCAGGGGAUCGAAAGACCUUGUGCUACUAGAGCGGCCGAUGGCAGUUUAGGUAGUUGGUGGGAUAAAAGCUUACCAAGCCGACGAUCUGUAGCUGGUCUGAGAGGACGAUCAGCCACACUGGGACUGAGACACGGCCCAGACUCCUACGGGAGGCAGCAGUGGGGAAUUUUGGACAAUGGGCGAAAGCCUGAUCCAGCAAUGCCGCGUGCAGGAUGAAGGCCUUCGGGUUGUAAACUGCUUUUGUACGGAACGAAAAGCCCUGGGUUAAUACCCUGGGGUCAUGACGGUACCGUAAGAAUAAGCACCGGCUAACUACGUGCCAGCCGCCGCCGUAAGAC
rnacentral:rRNA from 1 species